AUACGUAGGGUGCGAGCGUUGUCCGGAAUUACUGGGCGUAAAGAGCUCGUAGGUGGUUUGUCGCGUCGUCUGUGAAAUUCCGGGGCUUAACUCCGGGCGUGCAGGCGAUACGGGCAUAACUUGAGUACUGUAGGGGAGACUGGAAUUCCUGGUGUAGCGGUGAAAUGCGCAGAUAUCAGGAGGAACACCGGUGGCGAAGGCGGGUCUCUGGGCAGUAACUGACGCUGAGGAGCGAAAGCAUGGGUAGCGAACAGGAUUAGAUACCCUGGUAGUCCAUGCCGUAAACGGUGGGCGCUAGGUGUAGGGGUCUUCCACGACUUCUGUGCCGUAGCUAACGCAUUAAGCGCCCCGCCUGGGGAGUACGGCCGCAAGGCUAUAACUCAAAUGAAUUGACGGGG
rnacentral:rRNA from 1 species